UUUGAGUAGGGGCUCAUCGACAUUUCUGGCAGCAGCUAAUAUGCCCUAGAUGCCGAGUCCCACGGAGGUUUCUUUGCCGGUCGACCCCCUAGGGCUAGCAGGGAAGCCCUUUGCGGGCUUGCGUUCGCGGGGCUACCCAGAGUCCACGAUUGCGAGCCCCGCAGCCUUACAGAUCGCCCUGUAAGCAAGAGGGGGCCUUCACGUCCUCCUUUCGUGAAAGGCCUGGUACUUUUCUUCUAAAGCUCUCGUUUCCUUGGGGAACAGAACUGAUAGGCGCCGCAGGUGCGCUGUCUUUAGUCUUCCCCAUCCCACCUCCGACCAAAGGGUCUUGGCUCCAGCAGCUUGGGAGAAGUUAUAAUUAUUCAGCAUGUUUCCACUGACUGAGAAAAACAAGCAUGUGGCCCAGAUGUUGCUCAGUUCUGGGACCUGUCCCAGAUGUGUCUUCAGAUUCUGUGGUGUGGAUCUUCAUGCACCUUACAAACGCCCAUCCAAGGAGUUGUUAAAUGAUCUACAGAAAUUUCUUGAAACUGAAAAAGAUGAAUUAAUUUUGGAAGUUCCAAACCCACCAUUGAAGAAAAUUCGUCUUCAAGAAGAUAGGACAGAUAAUUGGAGUAGAAACGGACAAGAGGGGAUCUCUGCCACGGAAGACGAAAGCAGUGCUUCUGAGCCUUCAAACUCGAGUGUGUGCAAUGUUUGCUUAGGAAUUCUUCAAGAAUUCUGUGAGAAAGAGUUUAUUGCGAAGGUGUGCCAAAAGGUUGAAGCCUCUGGGUUUGAAUUCACCAGUGUGGUUCUAUCAGUUUCCUUCCCGCCACAGCUGUCAGUGAGAGAGCAUGCUGCAUGGUUGCUGGUCAAACAGGAAAUGGGAAAGCGGAAUCUGUCUCUGGGAAGAAACGAUGCAGUUCAGCUGAAAGAAGCCUACAAAUGGAUCACUCACCCCCUGUUCUCAGAGGGACUGGGCGUUCCCGUCGAUGGAAAGAGCUUGUUUGAAGUGAGUGUGGUCUUUGCUCAUCCAGAAACAGAUGAAGAUUGUCACUUCCUAGGUGAAGUUUGCCCAGAUUGUUUCAAGCCAGCCAAAAACAAACAGUCAGUGUUCACCAGAAUGGCAGUUUUGAAAGCUUUGAAUAAGAUAAAGGAAGAGGAUUUCCUCACGCAGUUUCCUUGUCCUCCAGACUCACCGAAGACUGUGUGCACUGUCCUGGAAAUGGAAUGCACUCACGGCGCUGUUUUUGUUGCUGCUGACGUUUCUUUGGCAGGCAGAUACAAUAAAUACUCCAGGAAUCUACCACAAACUCCUUGGAUAAUUGAUGGAGAAAGGAAAAUGGAAUCUUCGGUGGAAGAAUUAAUUUCAGAUCAUCUCUUGGCUGUAUUCAAAGCAGAGAGUUUUAAUUUCUCAUCCUCUGGAAGAGAAGACGUAGAUGUGAGAACGUUAGGGAAGGGAAGGCCGUUUGCCGUGGAACUGCUGAAUCCUCACAGAGUCCGUUUCACUUCUCAAGAAGUUAAGGAGCUCCAGCAGAAGAUUAAUAAGGCAUCUGACAAAAUCCAAGUACGUGAUUUGCAGCUCGUCACCAGAGAGGCCAUAGGGUAUAUGAAGGAAGGUGAAGAAGGGAAGACCAAGACCUACAGUGCCUUGAUCUGGACGAAUAAAGCCAUACAGAAGAACGACAUUGGAUUCCUAAAUGACCUCAAGGACUUAAAGAUUGACCAGAAAACUCCUCUCCGGGUCCUCCACCGAAGGCCUUUGGCUGUGAGAACUCGGGCCAUUCACUCCAUGGAGACACAGUACCUGGACGAACAUCAUUUUCGUCUGUAUUUGAAGACCCAAGCUGGAACGUAUCCUUCUGCCUCUGCAUUGCAGAGCCCUAACCAGAAUGGGAUCAGGAUAGUUAAUGCUGCCCUAGACAACAGGUUCAGUGAUCUAGGAGACACUUAUUUGCUAGACAUGUGUUCCCGUGUACCCCAGGUCUCGUGCACUCCAGGCUGACCUUGAACUCCUUACCCUCCUGUCUCCACCUCCCAAGUGCUGGGAUUACAGGCCUGUGCCACCUCAGGUGGUCUUGGAUAUUUUGGAAAGGAUUUGAGUGUAUUCAUUCAGUAUUUUUGGAGUAGAAUCAAUACUUUUUUUCUUUUUUAGUUAAUUUUUUUGUUUUUAUUGAAUUAUACAUUUUUCUCUGCUCUCCUUUCUUCCUCUCCCUCCCCUUCUACCCUAUCCUGUAAUCCCCAUGCUCUCAAUUUACUCAUGAGAUCUUGUCUUUCUCUCCUUUCUAUAUAGACCCAUGUAUGUCUCUCUUAAGGUCCUCUUUGUUGUCUAGGUUGUCUGGGAUUGUAGACUGUACGUUGGUUUUUUUUUUUCUUUGCUUUAUGCCUAGAAGCCACAUAUGAGUGAGUACAUAUUUGUCUUUCUGGGUUAUCUCAGUCAAGAUGUUUUUUUUCCUAGAUCUAUCCAUUUACAUGCAAAUUUCAAGAUGGCAUUAUUUUUUGUUUUACUGUUGUGUAGCACUCCAUUGUGUAAAGAUACCAUAUUUUCCUUAUCCAUUCUUUGGUUGAGGGGCACGUAGGUUGUUUCCAGGUUCUGGCUAUGACAAACAAUACGCUAUGAAUAUAGUUGAGCACAUGUCCUUGUGGUAUGAUUGAGCAUCCUUUGGGUAUAUACCCAACAGCCGUAUUGCUAGGUCUUAAGGAAGGUUGUUUCCUAAUUUUCUGAGAAAUUGUCAUUACUAAUAUCCAAAGUGGCUGUACAAGUUUGCACUCCCACCAGCAAUGCAGGAGUGUUCCCUUUACCCCACAACCUCUCCAGCAUAAGUUGUCGUCAGUGUUUUUGAUCUUGGCCAUUCUUACAGGUGUAAGAUGGAAUCUCAGAGUUGUUUUGAUUUGCAUUUCUCUGAUGACUGAGAAGGUUGAACAUUUCCUUAAGGGUCUUUCAGCCAUUUUAGGGAAUCAGUACUUUUUGUUUGAAGUCUGUUUUCCCAUUUGUAUUUCAGAGUAGUGUUUUAAACCAUGAAGUAUCCAUCAGUUAGUUCAAUGCCAACUUUAAAGUUUACAGUUCUGUGGCAGUGUCUUGCUCAUUGUUUAGCAUAUGGUAGACUCGGGAAGUGCUUUUCAUUGAUUCAUUUGCCGUCUCUAUACAUUUUACAAGUCACAUGUUCAUAACCCUAUUUGGUCAUUUAACUGUUUCAAGUGUUUGCCCAACUGAGUAAACACAGGAGAGAGAGGGGAGCAGGUAUUUUACCCUCUUUAGAAUUUGAGACAAGCGCUCACCGUGUUGCCCAGGCAGGCUCAUCACGAACACUUAAGCAGUUCCCUGUCUCUGCCUCCAGGAUGAUAGGAUGAUAGGAUGUCGUGUCUGGUGCUUCUUGACAUAGUGAUUGUAACUUAUGUGCAGGGCUGUGUGAAAACCAAAAGCCAAACUAUGUAUCACCUACUUAAGCAAUAUGUCAGUGUUAGGACAGAGUUUCAAAACAUCAAAAUUUUGACCGUGUUUUAAAUAGACAAAUAUAAUACAUAUUCACUCAUUUAGACAUAAAGCAAAGAAAAAGUGGCCUAUCGGUCACAAUCCCAGAGAAACUAGACAACAAAGAGGAUCCUAAGAGGGACAUACAUGGAUCUAAAUAGGAAGAUGAAAAAAGACAAGAUCUUCUGAGUGAAUUGAGAGCGUGUUGGUCAUGGAAGAAGGGUAGAAGGAGGGGGGGAGGAAGAGUGGAGAGAAAUAUAUAACUCAAUAAAAACAAUAAAAUAGAAGAUUGGAACUUGGAGUUUUAAAUAGCUCCCUGCGAAAGCUGAUACUUUGUUUCUGAUCAGGUCCAACUUGCGGCUUCAGGGUCAGAACUGAGUCUCUAACAGUGUAUCAGAGAGCUCCGGCAGUCGUAGGCCUACUUUAGUAUUUGCUUUCUUUUAAGACUGCUUCUUACUGUGGAUCCUAGGCUGUCCCUGAUCUCAAGAUUCUGCCUCUGCCUUCCAAGUGCUGGGAUUACAGCAUGUCUCACCAUGCCUGGUUUUCCUGUUGCCCCCAGAUUAUAAGAAUGAAAUAAAACUAAUUCUGUCUUUAAUUUUACAUACCAAGAAGGAAUGCUUUGUCUUUGGAAGAACUAGCAUGAUUUCAAUCCUGUUAAGACAUUUUUGGAAACAGCCACAUGUGUGUACUUAAUACGCUAGCCAAGAAGAGCUGGCUACAUGUGGUUCUCGUAGUGCGUGGCCUUAUGUGCGCGUUUCAUGCUGUGCUGUCCCAGUCUCACGUGGCUCAGCACCGCGGCCUUCCGUCUGGUCCCUCCAGCACGAACACAGGCCAGACCUUUCCAUUGCUUCCUCCUUUAUUACUGGCAUUCUCUGAAGAAAGUGAGGGAAAAGAGCGACAAUUGAAGAGAAACUAUGAAUUCAUGGAAAAAAAAGAGCCACUGGAUCAUUGUACGCCUUCUGUUUGAGUCAAAACAUGUUAUGGGGGAGGAGGUGAAAAAGCGCGUACAGUUGCCUCCCAGCUAGUGCUGGGGAAGUCGUUUGUUUUCCUGUACAAACACCAUUAACCGCUUACACUGACUUCUGCUUUUACUAACGCAGUGUUUUUGUGUUAUUUUUCAGAUGACGUCAGGGCCGCAGUGUGUGCUGUGGAGGGCUAAUCUUAUUAAGGACAAAUGCCAGAUUUAACCCUUGCCUUCAAAGCGUAAAGACCUACAUAGAGAACACAGAGUUUGCUAAACCAGCCAGGUGUGCUCCACACUGGCCCUGUCAUUCAGGCUUGCUUCUGCUCAAGACAGCCUGGACUACACAGCGGCUCCAAGGCCACGUUGGGUCUGUAGAUGUUGACUGGCCACCUGCUCUGGAUGACUAGCUCCCACAUUUGGACACAGGGCUUUCCUGACGUGAUGCAGACAUACAGGCGGCGUAUCUUGGAAAAUGACUUACCCACCACCACAGUGUCUUCAAAACGGCUUGGAUUGUGUUCAUCUGUUUCUGAAGUUCACUGUAACAUCUCAGGAUCUAUAUGUACGCAUAUUUUGUGUUCUGAGGAUGUCUUACGUUUUCUCAUUCCGUCUCAUGACCACAGAACUAAAAUAGGAAUAAUCGAGCCCUUUUCCUUUUUAAUUCUGUCACUCAGAGAAGUGUGCAGUGGGAGACACUGUUAAGAGGAGCUGUGACUUCCUCAGUGAGAUUUCCUACGGGAACCCCUGCACCUUUAAAGGAAAGUGCUCCAGUUUUCAGAUCAUCUGAAUAAAUGCUGCAACUAGACUCAUGUGCUAGAGUGUCCUGUGGAUUUCUAAUAUCUCCAAUGCACAUUUGACAGGACUAUUUCUCCUGGUUACCCUCAAGUGUUAUCAAUGGAACUACUUUAAGGUGAGAUUUGUCAUAAGUCCUAAUGACCUCAAGUUACUAGUUUGACAAUCUAAAGUUGACAGUACUUGUCUCCUGUAGAACCUGUGACUGUGCUGGGGGUGAACCCGUAGAGCCAUGGUUCCCACCUGCGACCGUGCUGGAGGUGAACCCCUAGAGCCACAGUUCCCACCUGUGGCCAUGCUAGGGGUGAACCUGUAGAGCCAUGGUUCCCACCUGUGAGUUGUGACUCCCAUAGGGGUUGCAUAUCAGAUCUCCUGCAUAUCAGAUGUUUAUAAUAAAAUUCAUAACAGUAGCAGAUUACAGUACUUUUAUGGUUGAGGUCACCAUAAUAUAAGGCACUGCAUUAACGGGUCACAGUAUUAGGGAGGGUGAGAACCACUGGCCUUGACACUUUCCUGCAUCCUUUUUUUUUUUUUCUUUUUUUUCUUUUUUUUUUCUUUUCUUUUUUGUUUUUUUUUUUUUGUUUUUUUGUUUUCGAGACAGGGUUUCUCUGUGGUUUUGGAGCCUGUCCUGGAACUAGCUCUUGUAGACCAGGCUGGUCUCGAACUCACAAAGAUCCGCCUGCCUCUGCCUCCCGAGUGCUGGGAUUAAAGGCGUGCGCCACCACCGCCCGGCUCCUGCAUCCUUUAAGGAAAGUGAAACAAGUACCUUCAAUAACUUCUUUCCCGGGUUACAAAUUCAAAAAUCUGAGCUUGCUAAACAAAUACAAACACAUUUUACAGUGUUUCAACUAUUUUCUAACUUCAAACAUCUUAAUAAGGUAUAUCUAACUUUAUAUCUAAUUUCAUAAACAAGGAAACAGAGUUAAAGGACGCCUAAGAUACCAGUUACUCCUGUUGACCAGGACUGGAACUGGAGUUGUGCCUCCAGGGUCCUUUCUGUACACGCUUGUCAUGAGUACCUGUGGCUCCUCUGGCUGACCGUGCUCUCUAGGGGGCCAGUUUAGAUGCGCAAUGCCUUCUGGAAUUGGGUAGCAAGUUGCUCCCAGGAAAUGGCUAAUGCAUGUCUUAGAUGAUCUCGUAUAAUUAUUAUUUGUAAUGAAUGGCAUGAUGAAGAAGAGAAGCCUUAAACAUAUUGAACCAAAAGAAGCUGAAUUAAUCAUUAAA